CCUACGGGCGGCAGCAGUGGGGAAUAUUGCACAAUGGGGGAAACCCUGAUGCAGCGACGCCGCGUGAGUGAAGAAGUAAUUCGUUAUGUAAAGCUCUAUCAGCAGGGAAGCAAAUGACGGUACCUGAGUAAUAAGCCCCGGCUAAGUACGUGCCAGCAGCCGAGGUAAUACGUAGGGGGCCAGCGUGAUCCGGAUUUACUGGGUGUACAGGGAGCGUAGACGGCAGUGCAAGUCUGGAGUGAAAGGCGGGGGCGCAACCCCCGGACUGCUCUGGAAACUGUACGGCUGGAGUGCAGGAGAGGUAAGUGGAAUUCCGAGUGUAGCGGUGAAAUGCGUAGAUAGUAGGAGGAACACCAGUGGCGAAGGCGGCUUACUGGACUGGAACUGACGUUGAGGCUCGAAAGCGUGGGGAGCAAACAGGAUUAGAUACCCGGGUAGUC
rnacentral:rRNA from 1 species